rnacentral:rRNA from 1 species
CUUUUGUGGGGUGCUCGAGUGGCGAACGGGUGAGUAACACGUGAGUAACCUGCCCUUGACUUUGGGAUAACUUCGGGAAACUGGGGCUAAUACCGGAUAGGAGCUCCUGCUGCAUGGUGGGGGUCGGAAAGUUUCGGCGGUUGGGGAUGGACUCGCGGCUUAUCAGCUUGUUGGUGGGGUAGUGGCUUACCAAGGCUUUGACGGGUAGCCGGCCUGAGAGGGUGACCGGCCACAUUGGGACUGAGAUACGGCCCAG